CGCUGAAAAUUCGAAAUUACGUAAAAUCUUUAUCAUAUUCUUCAUAUUCUUCAUGAGAAAAGGAAAAUAGUAAUUUUUAAAAUGUUGGCAAUAGUUCUAGCAUCUCGAUUCAUGAGAAAAGGAAUGAUAAUUUUUAAAAUGUUGGCAAUAAUUAGCAUCUCGAUCCUGUGUUCUCGACAUCGAUUUCCUAUUGGUUCGAGUGAAUUGUUGCACGUAACCAGAUCGUGCAUGUGCGAAGUGUCACGAUAUUUUGAAUAAAAAAAUGUAUAUUGAAAUAAUAUACGAAGAGAAGAUUGCACGCGUUUGCGCUGAUAGGAUGUUAUCCUAGGUCAGGUCUACCGAGCAUGCUUGGUACAUGCACUGUUACGGAUGAUCGAUAUGAUGGUUACCGGCUAAUAUCAUCAGCUGAUUGGUUGGUCAUAUGCCAAAACGAUUCGAUUCGUCAGGUGGUUUCAUUCAGCUUUUCCACUGACUUCAUUAUUGUAUUCAUAUAUGUGCAUAUAUAUAUACAUAAGAUAGACCGAAAAAAAAAGAAAAGUGUUCAGGAUGUAGAUGGUCAUUUGAUAUAAUAAAACGUUGAAAUAUUAAAUAAAUGGGAACAAGUAAUCUGUUUCCAACUCUCAAUUUUAAUAUAUAUUCGUUGAUAUAGGGAAGAACGAAGAAACAGAAUCGCAAAGAGAUAUUAAAAAAAUUUGAGAUCAUUUGUUUGAAACUUAACUUGGAAUUCUAUAAUUUGCAUAUCAAAAUGUAAACUUUUAUUUUUCACGUUUUCUGUUAAUUAUAAUGCUUAUCGCAUGAUCUUGUUGAAUAUAAAUUCUUGGAAUAAAACUCUGAGAAUUAUUAUGCAUUUCAUGGAAGUAUCGACGCUAACUAGAAGUCUAUUCUCGUCGGUUGAUUAACUGGUGAUAUGUCAAGUAACAGUCAAGUUUGACCUACUUUUGCUGGCUGGUUCCAUUCAGCUUUUCGUGGACCCACCCCUUAGAAGUUACCCUAUUGCGUCACAAGUAUCGAACGUCCCGAUAACUGCACCAAACUGUACAUAUAUAUAUAUUUUGUUCGUCUGUGUGCGAGUUCACGCGUCCACAGACGAACACGUUCGAAAACACGUACACGCCCACGUGAACGCGACAGUUUAUUGGAAAAUUUUCCAACUGACGCGAUCAUUUUAUGAUUAAAUUUGUACAAUUUUUUUUUCGAAAGUAAUUUUUUUCUUAAUACUUACAUUUUUUAUGUACAAAUGUACAUAUGUUUUUGCGACAAGUUUAUUAUUUCCAUUAUCGAUUGCAAAUUUUAAUUAAUUCAAUUAUUUUCUGACAUGUGAAAAACUCAUUAAAAAUACAAUUAGCUAUAGCUCUAAUAUUCAUUUUUUUCACUCUGUUGCUGAGAAUAUAAAUUAAUUAAGAUUUAGUGAUUAAUUUUUCGUAUUUUUUUUCUUUUAACGCCAAUAAUGGAAAUUAAGCUCGUUAUUACAAUUAUGCGAUUUUUACAAGAUUUUAUAAUCUUUUAAAUCUUUUUUUUCUAUGUAAUAGAAAUCAUUUCGUUUAUAUUAUUUUAUAAUAUCGUAAGUGAAAUGACAUGUGACAUUUAUUUACAGGUCAAGUAAUAUACACUUGGAACUACGUUGGCGCAUAAAAAUAAAAGUUUGACGUAAGAAACUUAAAAGUAAUUGAUCAUGCUGUGACGUAUAGUAGAACGUCAUUGUCUCUACGUCUUUUAGUUAAUGAUGACGAUUCUAUGUAAACGUGGUACGCUAUAAAUACCAUCGAUAGCCUUCGUUACAAAACUAUCGACUUCCGAUUUGAAUUGGAACGUCUAGAGCUUUUCUUAUAGUAUCCAAUAUAGCGUGUACCGUAGAUUGUUAAUGAUAAAAAUGAGGGGAAAAAGAAGAUGGAAAAAGACGAAAAUUAUAAAUUGCACCCUUUUUUUUACAGGUGUUCUAAUCUUUUUAUAAUGCCUCCUCGUCACAAUUUCCACGAAUUAUUGUGGCGAAAUUAACGAGAGGACUGCGCCGAUCAACUUUGAUAACGACAGCUUCUCCAAGUCGUAUUGAACCGACUUGGUCGUCAAGUCUACUGGCGUUUCUGCCGAGGGCAACGCCCUCGCCAGCCCUCUCAUCCCCAUUCAGAAGAAACGUCGAAGAAAAAGAGGGAUGUUCCGAGCAAGAGAAGGAUUUCCGGCCAAUCUUCGAUAUCUUCUUAUCUGGUGGAUGGUGAUUCUCCCAAGGAUGAAGAGAACCAGCUAGUUCGGCUGAUCGGGGUAGAAUGAACGUUGGGGCUGAGCAGGACGGCUAGAAAACUGGCGAGAGGGUACGGUCGAUCAACCACCCCCCACCUUAGCGCCCCUACCCCGAAGCAACCCCUACCGCGUCUCUGCGAAGUGAUAUGACGUGACGCACACGCGCACGAUUAUACGGACCUUCUAUGUGGAACGUGCACACACACGUGGGCACACCUAUUGUGCCACGAAACGCGUCUGCCCACGCGAUGACCCGACCAGAUCUUCGGGCUAUCUUUGAAAAUCUUCCCUCGCAUCUUGGCCGCAUGUUAUUGUUUUAAAAAUUAUUAAACCGUCCUGACUUAUUUUCUUAUUAAUUUCUCCUUCGAUUAAGUCUCGAUCCCACGAAAUAACUCUCCUUAUUAACGUUAUAUUUAUAUUUUAAGAAAGAUCUAGUAUCCAUCAUUUUAAUUAAUUUCAAUAUUUCAAUCGAAUGUUCAUUCAAACUUUUCAUCUAUGUACAUUCUAUGAAAAAUAUCGUGGAUCGCUUCUCGAUCGAUUAUCCACUACUUCUUUUUUCGAAUGUUUAUCGAAUGGUUCGGUGAGAGAAAGAAAAGCGACGUUUUUAAUUAAAAAAGAUUUUUUUUCGAAGUCAUUCAUCGGGCCGUUUUCGUUGAGAAAAAAUAUUCGAGAUAUCAAGGCUCGUUUCCUCGUGUGGUUCUCAUCGCAAAUCCGUAUUUUCUUUCACGUCUGGAACAGCGUUGUGCAGGAGGAAUUGUAGCACCGUUUUCCGUAUUCAGUCCCCGGCCACUUUUCUUCAACCCCCGCAACAGGCCAAACGCCUACGCCAUCGUAUAACGCCCACGUCCACCCGACGCCCACGCAUAUGAGAAAGGGAGGGAGGGGGGAACGAGGCAACCAAAAAAACGAGGAGUAAAGUGAGAAAAGGAGAAUAAUUGCAGUCAGACGAUAUGCAUAAAAUUUUGCGAGAGAAGCCGGAAAAUUCUCGGAAGCAACCACUCUUUAGCAAAGUGUUUACUUGAGAUACGACGCAUCCUAGCGCACUACGUACUUCAGUAAUUGACCUAUUUCCAAAGAAUCGGCUGCACGCUUGCGCGAAUUAAAGUAGUUGUUGCACAAAACAAGCGCAACUCGCCUCGUUGGAGUUCUCGUAAAGUAACAAUGUUCGUAAAAUAUCAUGGGAACGUUUUAUGGUGACAGAUGCUCGAAAACGAUCUUAAUAAACGCGAAGAGAUUUGUUUUAAUUGCGAUUAUUUAAUUAUUGUAUAUUAACGAUGAGAAAAAGAAACAUUAAAAAUAUUUAACUUUUUCCUGCUUCGAUUAGGAAAAAUAAAAAUUGAUAAAAAUUAUUUAACAUUUGAGAGAUAAGGAAAAAUAUUUUUGUAUUCGAUCGCAUUCCGAGAUGAAUUUUAUAAAACGAAUAAAAUGGAAUCAUUAACGCCACACCCUCAACCAUUGACGAAACAUAUAUAUUCUCUCUUUGAAUGUACUUAUUCAGAGACACGUGACUGUAUUUCCUCGAGAAGCAAAUGGGAAAAUUAAUUUUCGUAAAUUCACUAGCUAUUCCGAAGAGGAUACAUCCGAACCGAGGAUACAGCCGUCGUUGUAAUUACGGGGGAGCAAAUUCUGUGAAAUAAUAUAAUUCGACGUGCUCGACCCGAAGGUUGGUUCCCAUUGACGUCAGUCGUUGGUUCUGGAAACGACGAAUCCCCGUGCUUCGAAAACUUAGUGGGGGACAUACGCGUCGUGAGGAAAUGAUUCGUAGGAGGGGAGCAUGGAUAUUGUAUCCAGGGACGUUGCAUGAACAUCACAACUCCAGGAUCAAAAUAAUUUUUCGAGAUAAUAGUUAAACAAUAAAAUUUCUUCAUAUCGACUUUUUUCGACGACUUAAAUCUAUCGAAUCGUUAAACUUUAAUUCCAUGUAUGAAAAUAUUUUAAAUAUAAUUUUGUUAAACUUUUACAUACAUUCUCAUUCCAUUUAACAAUAUUCUGUGUAAUAUAUAUUAAAGCAAAUAUUAAUUUAGAUAUAAGGAGAGUGAACAGAAUUUUUAAUGUUAUUUUUAAUAUUAUUUAUUAAAGAAACAAAAAAAGACAUUAAUGUAAACUUAUAUUAGGACAGGCAUUUAUAAUCAUUGAUACUAUCCUGCGGACUAGAAACUGUAACUAGAAGGGGUAUCCCGAAGGAAUAGAUCGAUGUUCCACUCUCUGUAGUAAGAGACGCCUGUUGCUGUAAAACAGGAGCAGCUUCAUUCAUGAAUGGCAAAACGUGAACACAUGUAUCAUUCUAAAUUUCCGUGAUAAUUAAAAAUUGUUGUAAUUAUUAAUUAAUUUUAAGAAUAUAAAUUCAUUUUUUCAUAAA